rnacentral:rRNA from 1 species
AACGAACGCUGGCGGCAUGCCUAACACAUGCAAGUCGAACGAGACCUUCGGGUCUAGUGGCGCACGGGUGCGUAACGCGUGGGAACCUGCCCUUAGGUUCGGAAUAACUCCCCGAAAGGGGUGCUAAUACCGGAUAAUGUCUUCGGACCAAAGAUUUAUCGCCUUUGGAUGGGCCCGCGUUGGAUUAGCUAGUUGGUAGGGUAAAAGCCUACCAAGGCGACGAUCCAUAGCUGGUCUGAGAGGAUGAUCAGCCACACUGGGACUGAGACACGGCCCAGACUCCUACGGGAGGCAGCAGUGGGGAAUAUUGGACAAUGGGCGAAAGCCUGAUCCAGCAAUGCCGCGUGAGUGAUGAAGGCCUUCGGGUUGUAAAGCUCUUUUACCCGGGAUGAUAAUGACAGUACCGGGAGAAUAAGCUCCGGCUAACUCCGUG